CCUACGGGAGGCAGCAGUGGGGAAUAUUGGGCAAUGGGCGCAAGCCUGACCCAGCAACGCCGCGUGAAGGAAGAAGGCUUUCGGGUUGUAAACUUCUUUUCUCAGGGACGAAGAAAGUGACGGUACCUGAGGAAUAAGCCACGGCUAACUACGUGCCAGCAGCCGCGGUAAUCCGUAGGUGGCAAGCGUUAUCCGGAUUUACUGGGUGUAAAGGGCGUGUAGGCGGGAAAGCAAGUCAGAUGUGAAAACCAUGGGCUCAACCUGUGGCCUGCAUGUGAAACUGUUUUUCUUGAGUACUGGAGAGGCAGGCGGAAUGCCUAGUGUAGCGUUGAAAUGCGUAGAUAUUAGGAGGAACACCAGUGGCGAAGGCGGUCUGCUGGCCAGCAACUGACGCUGAGGCGCGAAAGCGUGGGGAGCAAACAGGAUUAGAUACCCCUGUAGUC
rnacentral:rRNA from 1 species